AUUGAACGCUGGCGGCAGGCCUAACACAUGCAAGUCGAGCGAGCGGCGGACGGGUGAGCAAUGUCUGGGAAACUGCGUGAUGGAGGGGAAUAACUAAUGGAACCGGUAGCCACUACCGCAUACCAUCAGAUGUGCCCAGUUGGGAUUAGCUAGUAGGUGGGGUAAUGGCUCACCUAGGCGACGAUCCCUAGCUGGUCUGUGAGGAGGACCAGCCACACUGGAACUGAGACACGGUCCAGACUCCUACGGGAGGCAGCAGUGGGGAAUAUUGGACAAUGGGCGCAAGCCUGAUCCAGCCAUGCCGCGUGUGUGAAGAAGGCCUUCGGGUUGUAAAGCACUUUCAGCGGGGAGGCGUUACUCGCAGAAGAAGCACCGGCUAACUCCGUGCCAGCAGCCGCGGUAAUAC
rnacentral:rRNA from 1 species